rnacentral:rRNA from 1 species
UACAGAGGUCUCAAGCGUUGUUCGGAUUCAUUGGGCGUAAAGGGCGCGUAGGCGGCGGGGUAAGUCGGGUGUGAAAUCUCAGAGCUCAACUCUGAAACUGCACUCGAUACUGCUCUGCUUGAGGACUGGAGAGGAGACUGGAAUUCACGGUGUAGCAGUGAAAAUGCGUAGAUAUCGUGAGGAAGACCAGUGGCGAAGGCGGGUCUCUGGACAGUUCCUGACGCUGAGGCGCGAAGGCCAGGGGAGCAAACGGG